CUCCUAACGGAAGUGAGAUGGAAAACGCGAAUAAAGGAUUCUAACUUGGACGCGUACUGUGAUGGGAAAACGGGGGCCUAGGACAGAUGACAACAAGGGAGACUGCCUCAGACUGCUCAGGGAAGGCCCCCGAGGGAGCCCUGAGCUGAGAAGGGGCCAGACUGCCCAGUGCGGGGGCAGGGCAGCCCAGGAAGAGGGACUGCAUGUGCAAAGGCCGGGAGACAGGACGGAAGUAGGGGUACUUCAGGAAUCCCGAAGGGCUGGUGAGCUGUGGAGUAGCAGUGGACGGGAGAGAGCGAGGGGAGGAGUUCAGAAAAGCAGAAAGGUAAACGUCAGAGGUCACGCCAGAGCUGAUGCAACCGGAGGAAUCCACUCCUCUCCCACUAACGUACCCCUUGCCUCUCUCCCGCUGUGAAGAGAAAACACCCAGGCACGCAGAAGCCGGGCUGCAGCUUCAAAGCUCUUCAGAUAUGGAAGCCACUUAUCACAGCGCAUCUCCCAGUCGGCUCCUGGCAAACAUCUCCAGAUGACCUCUCUGGCCAGGAGUUUGACCCUUGCUACGAGGGAAUCAAAGCUAAAAGCCAUUUCUUCACUUCUUCAUCGCCUUCCUCCUCCUCCCCUCCCCCCACCGGGUGGCACUGGAUCUGGCUGCACGCCUCGCAGCAAUCACUAAAAUGGGCUUUUAUUACUAAAAUUCA
rnacentral:lncRNA from 1 species